UACGUAGGGUGCAAGCGUUGUCCGGAAUUAUUGGGCGUAAAGAGCUCGUAGGCGGUUUGUCGCGUCUGCUGUGAAAACCCGAGGCUCAACCUCGGGCCUGCAGUGGGUACGGGCAGACUAGAGUGCGGUAGGGGAGAAUGGAAUUCCUGGUGUAGCGGUGGAAUGCGCAGAUAUCAGGAGGAACACCGGUGGCGAAGGCGGGUCUCUGGGCCAUUACUGACGCUGAGGAGCGAAAGCGUGGGGAGCGAACAGG
rnacentral:rRNA from 1 species